ACACUAAUAUAAAUUUAAGGUUCAGGCUCAGAAUGGAAAUAACAGUUCGAAACACUCACAGGGAUGUAAUAUUCACGUCACAUUUAAGCCUCCUAUCCAGGCCGAAUUGCAAAGUGUCCUCCAUUCUGAGCAUAACUGUGAAGCAUGAAUUUAUUAUUUAUAUGAAUUUUUUUAGCUUUUAUUUUGUAAUGCCCUACGUUUUUGCAGUAUCUUGUCUUCCUUCGUGGUGAGGCCACCUGGUCACCCUGUGAGCAAGCGAAAGUGCCUCUGAUAUUUUGGGUGACGUGAUUGGGUCCUGCGAUGACAUUUCCCAAGUGGACAAAGUUGGCCUCUGGGUUUGAGGCAAGGUCUUUUUGUCCUGACCCAGACAACUUGCCACUGCUGCAAGGCAUGUCAUGCUUGAUCCAUCCUUGUCAGAUCCAUAGUUCCCAUGGUUUCAAUUGUUCCUAGGACAAAACAACUGCUAUUGGUUAACUGCUUUAUGAUGGCAUCCUCAGGUUACUUGGCAAUUGCACUACACAAAAGUAGUUCAAGAAGGCUGUGGAGAGUCAUCUCACAGGGAACCCCUUUUGCUGUGUUUUCAGGGUCCCUUUCAGCUUUCUCCUAUGGACAGCUCUCUGGCAGGUCUGAGAAACUACUCUUGAUGUAGCCAUAGCCUAGAGCUAAGGUUGGCGGCCCUAUCAAAAAGUUCUCUUGGCAAGAUUUCUUCAGAGGUUUUCCACUGCCUUCAGCUGAAGCUGCCAGGGUGUUACCUGGCCAAGGUCUCAAAUAAAUUAGGAUUAACCUUCAGCCACAGAGAAGAAUUCAGAAAAAGCAGGGCGAGUCUCUGAAAUCUUUGCUGGUGUUGCACAGGAUAGGUGAAACAAUAAAGUUGCAUGACAGGAAAUGUGGACAUCCCACCUAAAUAUAUACACUUACACAUCACUUUGUGUUGUGUAGAUGUGAUCAAAGAGAGAUUCUAUGGCCAUCCAUUUUACAGGUAUCCGACCCUGGAGAAAGAAAGAGGGAGAUUAUUAUUUGCAAGUGCAAAUGUCAUAGACAUUUCAUUUCUGUCACAUUUAUCUAAUACAAGUUAUCAACUACACUUACAUGACUUUUCACAGAGUGUGAGAGUGCUUUCCCCUGUAUCUGAAUUAUAGUAAAAGGUACUCUGAGAUGGAGGCACUUGCUCACUUACGUUCACUAGUCAAAUUUUGCCAGGAAAAAAAUCAAGUACUGUGAUGUGCAAAAGAAAACCCAUUAUGUUGAUUAAGUAAACUGAUAAAAACUUUGUGCACUUUUAAAAUAGCAUUUUUGUUCCCAGUGUCCACUAAAACCUGAUUGUUAUUGAAAGAAUUAGAGAGGUACUGGCAAAAUGAAGAUGGGACUACUGACUGUGAUACAUGGCCAUAAAGAAUAAUGAAAUUCCAUUUCUUUCCCACUUUGAAUAUAAUUUGGCUUUUGAGCUUUUAGCAAAAAAAAAAAAAAAAUCCUUUCCUACUUAAUCAUGAGAGUUAAAAACAUGCACAGUGUAAAAGCAAACACAGAGAUUGUACCUGACAAAGGCUAGAAAAAUUAAACACCAGAAGACUCUAGGCUGCUGUUAUUUCUUUGAAACUAGAUUUCUUAGCCUGCUCUAUUGAAAUGAUUUUUUUAAAAAAUGUCUGUUUUACACUAUGAAUUGUGUGACUAUAUGCUAUUGAUUAAUCAUCAAUUUGCAUAGAAAGCGAAGCUCAAAGUACAAACAACAACAACAACAACAUUCAAGUCAUGUUCUCCAGUAUCUCUUUGAUAAAGACCAUUUCAUUAUAUUUUUGGCUCAGAGAUUUAUAU